UGGACAAGAAACGGUAUCCAAGAAUUUGAGAGAUAUACAAGGUUCUGCUUUAGCUAUUAUUGGCAAACAACUGAAGCCAUAUUGAGCUUUUCAAGAUAAUUAUGAAUCUGGUGGAUAUGUUUUGUUAAGCAUCACGGCAGAAAUCAUCCUAAAGACAGCAAAACCAAAUGGUCAUGGUGACCGCGAAUCUUGGCAUGGAAGUAGAAAUGCACCUUCAGAGUUGGCACCUAACAAGGGAUUCAUGCAAGAAUCCAUCUUGUCUGUUCAAGACAUCGAUAUUCAGUCAUUAGUUUUGAUCAGCAAGGUUGGUACAAAUUUAUUUUUUAGGGCAAUAAGGUGUAAAUAUUUUGGUAGCUGCAGGCUGCAAACAGUGCCCGUAUCUUUUAUGCCAAAAAAGUAGAUUAUUAACUUAGU